AACGAACGCUGGCGGCAUGCCUAACACAUGCCAGUCGAACGAGACCUUCGGGUCUAGUGGCGCACGGGUGCGUAACGCGUGGGAACCUGCCCUUAGGUUCGGAAUAACUCCCCGAAAGGGGUGCUAAUACCGGAUAAUGUCUUCGGACCAAGGAUUUAUCGCCUUUGGAUGGGCCCGCGUUGGAUUAGCUAGUUGGUAGGGUAAAAGCCUACUAAGGCGACGAUCCAUAGCUGGUCUGAGAGGAUGGUCAGCCACACUGGGACUGAGACACGGCCCAGACUCCUACGGGAGGCAGCAGUGGGGAAUAUUGGACAGUGGGCGAAAGCCUGAUCCAGCAAUGCCGCGUGAGUGAUGAAGGCCGUAGGGUUGUAAAGCUCUUUUACCCGGGAUGAUAAUGACAGUACCGAGAGAAUAAGCUCCGGCUAACUCCGUG
rnacentral:rRNA from 1 species